ACUACAAGCCGGGUUAUCGCUUUUGCACAGGCAAGAGAGGAAAGUCCGGACAGUAUAGAGCAGCGCACCACCUAACGGGUGGGGGCUUGCGAAAGCAGGCUACAGACAGUGCCACAGAAAAUAACCGCCUUUAGCAAUAAAGGUAAGGGUGAAAAUGUAGGGUAAGAGCCUACGCAUGGUAUUGGUAACAAUAUGAUGGGGUAAACCUUGCGCACUGAAAUGCCGAAUAGGCGUACAUUUGAGGGCUGCUCGUCCGAUAGUACGCGGGUUGGCAGCUACAGGUGAUGUGUGAGCAGCAUCGCAGAUAAAUGAUAGCCGUCCCGGGACCAUACGGGAUUACAGAAUCCGGCUUAUAGGUUUGUGGUUGUU
rnacentral:RNase_P_RNA from 2 species